UUUGCCCACACAUGGGAUCAAUAGGGUACCAUAACGAGGAAGGGAAGAUCGUAGCGGAAUACGAAAGAUUAUUGAUCGAAUAUAUUAAUAUAAUAGAUUACCCUUUGAACUUAAGCAUAUCAUUAAAAGGAGGAGAAGAAACUAACUAGGAUUUCUUUAGUAGCAGCGAGUGAACAAGAAACAACCCUUGAUUGUAAUCCUUAUGGAGCUGUAAAUCAUAUAUUUUAUUUCUUAUUUCGUAGAGGAUGUAUAUCCGUUAUAAAUGAGAUAUAUAAAAGUAAUUGAGUAGGGCUGCUUGGUAGUGCAGUUUGAAUAUAGGUAGAAUGAGAUAUCUAAGGUUAAAUAUAAUGGUACACCGAUAGCAAAUAAGUACUGCGAAGGAACUUGUGAAAAUGUGUGGGUUAUAGCCUUAUUUUUAAGGACCCGUCUUGAAACACGGACCAAGGAGAUUAUAAUUAUAGCGAGAUAACAAUGUAGUCGUUAUUAGCUUGAUAAGUUAUGAUUAUAAGACCCGAAACACAGUGAACUAUACAUGUUCUGGUUGAAGAUAAGCAACAGUUUAUUGGAAGACCAUAAUCAUUCUGACGUGCAAAUCGAUGAUUUAAGAUGUGUAUAGUGGCGAAAGACCAAUCGAACUGUGUGGUAGCUGGUUCACAGCGAAAUGUCU
rnacentral:rRNA from 1 species